AACUGUUUUUCAGAUGGGUCACAGCUCCUGCGGUUGUUAAUGCGUUCUAUACGAGGUCGAAAAAUUUUAUAACGUUCCCUGCUGGGAUACUACAGCCUCCUCUGUAUCAUCAAAAUUAUAUUAGAUCUUUGAACUAUGGAGGCAUUGGAGUCGUAAUUGGGCACGAAAUCACACACGGCUUCGACGAUAAAGGUCGUCAGUUUGAUCAUUUUGGUAAUUUGAAACAGUGGUGGAAUGCAGAAGCACUACAAAAAUUUCAGUCAAAGGCCGACUGUAUGAUUAAUCAAUAUGG